rnacentral:pre_miRNA from 14 species
CUUGCUUGAGUAGCGCUCCCUGUGUCUGGUAGGCAGUGUACUGUUAGCUGGCUGCUUUGUGUGAAUCUAGCAGUCGCUACUGCACUGUCAACAGCUGCAGGGGCAGCUCACUGUGUAUUUU